rnacentral:rRNA from 1 species
GACGAACGCUGGCGGCGUGCUUAACACAUGCAAGUCGAACGGUAAGGCCCUUCGGGGUACACGAGUGGCGAACGGGUGAGUAACACGUGGGUGAUCUGCCCUGCACUUCGGGAUAAGCCUGGGAAACCGGGUCUAAUACCGGAUAGGACUCCGGACUGCAUGGUCUGGGGUGGAAAGCUUUUGCGGUGUGGGAUGGGCCCGCGGCCUAUCAGCUUGUUGGUGGGGUGAUGGCCUACCAAAGCGACGACGGGUAGCCGGCCUGAGAGGGUGACCGGCCACACUGGGACUGAGAUACGGCCCAGACUCCUACGGGAGGCAGCAGUGGGGAAUAUUGCACAAUGGGCGCAAGCCUGAUGCAGCGACGCCGCGUGAGGGAUGACGGCCUUCGGGUUGUAAACCUCUUUCAGCAUCGACGAAGCGAAAGUGACGGUAGGUGCAGAGGAAGGACCGGCCAACUACGUGCCAGCCGCCGCCGUAA